rnacentral:tRNA from 1 species
UGGAGUGUAACUCAGUGGUAGAGCAUUUGCCUAGCAUGUGAGAGGCUCUGGGAUGAAUCCCCAACACUGCAA